rnacentral:tRNA from 2 species
GCCGCUCGUUUCAGCGCUCACCGAGCAGCUCCAGUCUAUCGCUCCUAUUCACUCGUAAUGAAUAGGUCGUCGGUUCGAUUCCGACAGGCGGCU